CGGGGAGUGGCGCAGCCCGGUAGCGCACUGCGUUUGGGACGCAGGGGUCGCAGGUUCAAAUCCUGUCUCCCCGACCA
rnacentral:tRNA from 1 species